UACAGAGGGUGCAAGCGUUAAUCGGAAUUACUGGGCGUAAAGCGUGCGUAGACGGUUGCGUAAGUCAGAUGUGAAAGCCCCGGGCUCAACCUGGGAAUUGCAUUUGAGACUGCGUAGCUAGGGUGCGGAAGAGGGAAGCGGAAUUUCCGGUGUAGCGGUGAAAUGCGUAGAUAUCUGGAGGAACACCGGUGGCGAAGGCGGCGUUCUGGACUGCAACUGACACUGAGGAACGAAAGCCAGGGGAGCAAACGGG
rnacentral:rRNA from 1 species